UGAAUUACACAUGAAGAGAAGUGACUGAACCUUCCACUUCUUGUUUCCAAAGAAGAAAUCUUCAACUCAUUUGUUUCCGAAAUACCGUAAUAUCGAUCUUCCAAUGCCAAACAUCAGCACACUACAUUGAAGAUUGAAAAUUUAUUAACUUUUUGCACUUCUCGGUCAACAAGCUGGUGCUUCGCCUAAUGGUCAAAAUUUUCAAAUAUAUGUUCUUCUUCCCAAGUGAGCAUUACUUUCCAUAUGCGGUUGUUGUAAAUCUAUUUGUUGAUCCAAUAAGUGCUUUUUGAACAAUGGGUUGAUGGGGUUGGAAAAUUAGGUUUAAUUCAUGGCAAUGGAGUUAUUGUACCUUAACGAGUGAGGAAGGAAAAUGAUGGUUAGGAUUAAAAUACAAGUUUGUCUAAGAAAGUUGACAUUUCGGUCACCUAUAAAAGAACAACUCUUAUGUAAUCUCAGUUUUAAAAUUGCUUAUAUAAUGACUUGUUAAAUAUCUAUUUUAAGUUGUUUAUGUAAUGACUCUUAUGUAAUAGAAUGCGAUUUGUAAAGUAAUG
rnacentral:lncRNA from 1 species